UCAAACCGACACAGGUGGUCAGGUAGAGAAUACUAAGGCGAUCGAGAGAACUGUGGUUAAGGAACUCGGCAAAAUGCCCCCGUAACUUCGGGAGAAGGGGGACCAGUCCUGGUGACGACAUUUACUGUCUGAGCUGGGGUUGGUCGCAGAGACCAGAGAGAAGCGACUGUUUACUAAAAACACAGGUCCGUGCGAAGUCGUAAGACGAUGUAUACGGACUGACGCCUGCCCGGUGCUGGAAGGUUAAGAGGACCGGUCAGCCACUUCGGUGGCGAAGCUGAGAAUUUAAGCCCCAGUAAACGGCGGUGGUAACUAUAACCAUCCUAAGGUAGCGAAAUUCCUUGUCGGGUAAGUUCCGACCUGCACGAAUGGCGUAACGACUUCUCUGCUGUCUCAACCACAGACUCGGCGAAAUUGCAGUACGAGUAAAGAUGCUCGUUACGCGCGGCAGGACGAAAAGACCCCGGGACCUUCACUAUAGCUUGGUAUUGGUGUUCGGUUCGGUUUGUGUAGGAUAGGUGGGAGACUGUGAAACUCGCACGCCAGUGUGGGUGGAGUCAUUGUUGAAAUACCACUCUGACCGUAUUGGACAUCUAACCUCGGACCAUGAUCUGGUUCAGGGACAGUGCCUGGUGGGUAGUUUAACUGGGGCGGUUGCCUCCCAAAAAGUAACGGAGGCGCCCAAAGGUUCCCUCAGCCUGGUUGGCAAUCAGGUGUUGAGUGUAAGUGCACAAGGGAGCUUGACUGUGAGACGUACAUGUCGAGCAGGGACGAAAGUCGGGACUAGUGAUCCGGCACCGGCAAGUGGAAGCGGUGUCGCUCAACGGAUAAAAGGUACCCCGGGGAUAACAGGCUGAUCUUCCCCAAGAGUCCAUAUCGACGGGAUGGUUUGGCACCUCGAUGUCGGCUCGUCGCAUCCUGGGGCUGGAGUAGGUCCCAAGGGUUGGGCUGUUCGCCCAUUAAAGCGGCACGCGAGCUGGGUUUAGAACGUCGUGAGACAGUUCGGUCUCUAUCCGCCGCGCGCGUAAGAAACUUGAGGAAACCUGUCCCUAGUACGAGAGGACCGGGACGGACGAACCUCUGGUGUGCCAGUUGUUCCACCAGGAGCACCGCUGGUUAGCUACGUUCGGAAGGGAUAACCGCUGAAAGCAUCUAAGCGGGAAGCCUGUUCCAAGAUGAGGUUUCUCACCACCUAGCGUGGUUAAGGCCCCCCACAGACCAUGGGGUUGAUAGGCCAGAACUGUAAGCACAGCAAUGUGUUCAGGUGACUGGUACUAAUCGGCCGAGGACUU
rnacentral:rRNA from 1 species